ensembl:lncRNA
ACGAAAGCAGCAAAGGAGAUGAAAAUAAAAAAAAAGACAAAGAUAAGCAAAAUGAACUUAGUAAAAUUUCUACAACAAUAGAAAAAAAAAGUGAAGCUUAUCCAAAUGACAGUUCUGUUUAUAUAGCUAUUUGGGAUUUUUACAAUGAUUUUUAUUAUCCUUAUAUGCGAAAUUUUAUUGAAAAAUUAUUAAAUAUUUUUCAAAUUAAUGUUUAUUCAGAAAUUUUAAGUAAUAUAAAUUUAUUUAAAAUAUCAGAGGAAGAGCAUGUAUAUAUAAAAGAAGAUGGGAUGAUUAGUGAUAAACUAAAUGGAGAAAUAAAAUUACAAAAUAGUAAAAGAUUAAUAUUACUUGAUAAAAUAACAAAAUUCACAAACACGUUUGAUGAUGUAAUAUUUGAUAAUGUUUUAAAAAAACCAACAUAUUCCACUCCCAAAAAUAUUAAUCUUAUAACUAUAUUUCCUACAGUGUCUCCCAUUUUUUUUUUGAUAAUAUAAAUAAAAAUAUAGAAACAUCUGUUUCAUUUAUUGAUUGGGGUGUGGCAUAUAUAAAUAAUUUAUUUACACAAUUAGAUAAUAAAAAUGAGAAAAAAAAAAGGAAACAAAAAGGAAAAGAAAAAAAUUUGAUAAAUGUAUCUGAUCAAGCACAAGUAAUUAGUGGAAUUUUUAUUUCACAUUUACGAUCAUUUUUAGGUCUUUGUGCAAAUUUUUCAGAUUGUAUUUAUAAAAUAUUUAAUACAGAUAUAUAUAAAAUAAAAUAUGUAAGUAGUCUAUCAACAGAUACAAGUAACUCGAUUUCUUAUUUAAUUACACUUAUCAAUAAUAAUGAAAAAGGUAAUAUAUCUUUUUCAUUUGUAUAUGAUGUACCUAUACAAAAUGGAAUAACAGCUUUUGAGGUUUUAGUAUUAAUGAGAGAGGCUUAUAUAUAUUAUAUAACACAAACAAUAAAUAAUUUAAAUAAAUUUGUAAAAAUAUCAAAUAUGAGCAUAUUUAUAAAAAUACCAGCACAUUGUGCUCAUGUGAUUAAUAAUGUUCUGAACAAUAUAGAAUGUAGCUUAAAUUAUAUCAAGGGUCAAACAUGUAAAAUAUCGGAUGUAAACGAUGUUAUUAAUAAAUUAUUUGAUUUAAAAAAUAAAGCUAAAGAAAAUGUAGAUACCGAUAGUUAUUAUCAUGCUACACCUAUAAGUGCAAUAAAUUUUAAAAUUGCUAUAAGUUUAGCUCAGUCCGCAUAUCAGGAUUCUUUACAGCUACUAAAUGACGACACAUUACAUAUCUAUGAAAUUUUAUCGAGGGACUUUCUGUUUGCUACCUUCCUCCCAAUAAUUAUUCCGUUAGUGAUCCCAAUACUUAGUUCACUGUUCAAAGAAUAUUUUAAAGGAAUUAAAAAGGAGAAGAUUGAUUAAAAAAAAAAAAAAAAAAUAAUAAAAAAAUCCUUAAACAUUGUUUAAACA